rnacentral:lncRNA from 1 species
AACUUUCUAGGAUCGCACCCUCCCAAACGGCAUGCUAACAGUUGUUUCUUGAUCGAAGAUAUCUGUGAUCAAACAAGAUCCAGAAAUGCAGGAUUGGACCGAGCAAGGGGCAGCAAACCCUGCAAUUUGCUUUUGAAUCCUACAACAGAGUACUUGGAUGGAUGGGGUGGUUGCAGGAUGCCUUUGAAGGAUACUUGUGAAGGUGGAACCACCGUGGCAUGGAAGUUUCACAGAUGUCGCUGUCUCCAAGGAUCAGUUGCAAACACAAUGACCUGAUGAGCAGAGAAAUCCCAUCUUAGAAAAAAGGAGAGAGCUGAGUCUACAGAGCCGCUACUUAGGAGUCCGACUUCAUAAUCAAUUGUGAAAUGUGGAAUCUAAUAGAAAUUUAAAUUCUAUCUCCAUUAUGUUAGGGUUAAU